rnacentral:lncRNA from 1 species
CAGUCUCGAACAAGGAAAAUCAAUCAUAGUGGAGUAAUUAUUAUCCUAAAAUACAGUAGUAAUCUAAUAAAUUAUCUUAUAAAAGUUACCGAGGGAGUAAAUUUUUUAUUUUUUAUUUAGCAUUCAAAAACUGGAGUUUAUUGGCAAGUUGCGGACGGCUCUCCUUACGAGCUUAUUUAUCACAUCAUCACAUGCCGCUUCACGUCAUGAAGCGAUUUCCCCAGCACCGCAGGUGUACUCACACAGACAGUAAUAGGCAGGUUCCCAGUCAUCACCGAACGGGUGACAAUCCCCGCCUAAGAAGCCCUCAUGCUUGCAGUGACUAUGGCAAGGCAGGGGCGGAGCCAGCAUGUUAGCGUUGGGUUCAAAUGAACCCAACGACUUUUCUUGGUCUAGUAUACGUACACAGAUACGUACUCCUCUGAACCCAACGAAAAACAAGGGAUGGACCCAUCAAGUUCCAACACCAAGUGAGCAGCCUAAUAAAAAAGCCCAAAAGUAGUAAAUUGCCUCUCUAGUCCAUGCUAAUUAAAUACCCGUAUACUUUAAUAGUUAGUACUAAUUAAAUACCCGUGCAUUGUUAUGAAAUAACAAAUGAUAAUAUUUUGGCUUUGCACUCUGAAAUAACACAAGUGAUAUUAUGUUUCUCUCUUUAAUGUAUUUUUAGUGCUAUAUUUUUUGUUCUUCCUUGAAGGGGACUACUAUAUAUUUGAUGUAAGGUGGUGUGAAAUUGGACUUUACAUUGAAUUAAUUAGACCAAAUCCUCUCUUUAAUGAACCCAUCAACUAAAUUUUCUGGCUCCGCCCCUGUGGCAAGGUAAAGGCACACAAAAAGGGUGGGAGUAGGUCUUGCUGAACGUUGUGCAAGUCCCACCUUCACCUUCACCUUCAGACCCUGAAACAAAUUAUGGACAUGAUUUUGGGUAACUACUUCAUCAGAAGACAACACACCGAGAAGGAACUACUACACUAAUUCUUCAGAUGAUUAUUAUUUCAGGCAAGGCUUAUUACCUGCAGGAAGCAACAGGAAUGCCAUGAGCAACAACAAGCACAAGCCCGACCUCUUGACCUUAUGGACGUCCAUGUCUCUCGAACAAGCAACCAAGAAAGGAAGGAACGGAUUAAAGUAUGUUAACUUACUAGUGUCGUCGGUCCCUUCUUAUAGGCAAUGGAUGAUAGAACCUUACAAUAA